UUGGGGAAAACCGUGUCAAUAGUUCGCCAGAAAUUAUAUUGUAGUAAGCCACAAAAUCACAAGACGUGCAUAUCGAUAGAAUAAAUUGUGAUCCAGACAAUACAUCUUUAUAGUGUUCCUACCUUCCACCCUAAUCCAUCAUGAAAUAAUAUUUCCUAAUUUGCAUAUUAGGGCUUGGAAUGUCUGUACACAAAACUUGUCUAAAUCACACUGAAAAAGACCUCGGUCUUUUGGCAUGCUCAAAAUUUGGUUGAGACCAUCUCAAUUCCCAUGCACAAUAACCGAAACCAAAUGAUUGUUUAUAAAAAACAGAUCCACCAACCAUCACAAGUCUAACAUCAGAUGCUACCAACAACAUGAUUGAUGAAGAUUCUACCGUAACCUUCACCUGUUCUGUUGACAGUCUGCCAUCUUCAGUAAUAUCCUGGUCCAGAUCACAAGUGGAUCAACUCUAUUCUGGUAGUCAAUAUACCAUAACUAAAGCUAGUUGUCAACAUACAGAUAACUAUACCUGUACAGCUAGUAAUAAGAUUGGUCAACCUGUAUCUAACACUAUUCCACUCUAUGUUAGAUGUUCUCCUCGAGAAAACAUAGAAACCAAGAGAAAGAUCGUCAAUAGAAUAGAUGCAACAAUAAAUCUAGAAGUUGAUAUAAUCGCCUACCCUGAACCAACCUUCACCUGGUACCAUACACCUACCAGACAGAUAAUAAAUACAGCUAGAACACAACAACUAUCAACUAUAAACUAUAAAUCAACAGUAGAGAUAACUCUAAACUCUACUCUAUUUGGUGAUUAUAUAGUAUCUGUAGUCAAUGGUAUUGGUGUUCAGAACUUCACUAUUACAGUUAUUGAAGGAGAACCACCAAAGCCACCUGGCCAGUUGGAAAGUAAUAACAUACCUACUAUAGUUGGUAGUAUUAUUGGUGUAUUGAUGGUUAUUGGUAUCGUGCUUGUUAUUGGUGUAGUUAUAUACCGUAGAAAGGCAUCAAGAGAUAAUGAUAAUACAUACGAUGGACUUGGAGUUACCUCCCUUUCAACUAAUCAACCUGUUUAUGAUGAAAUUAAUUCCUCUACAACUAGAUCUAAUCAUACAACAGCACGUGCCGAUACCACACCAGCCUACUAUAAUACAACGAACUUGGACCACAGCGAUAUUACCAACCCAUAAUACGUCAAUUCACCAUCAUUGUCAUCGACAUAUGACAGACUUGAUAUACGAAGUAAGGAAGAACAUCCAGACACUUAUCAACAACUCAGUACACCAACAACACCAUAUGAAGGACUGGAUGUACCAAACAAAGACAAGCACCAACACACUUCUCAACAACUUAACAUCUACGAAAACCAGAAGCUGUGAUCACUUUCCAUCUGCUUUGUUUACAAAGUUAACAUUACUGACUCCGAAACGAAAGAGUCCUAAAGGAAGCACAGGUUUAUUACCCCCUUGCUAUUUAAUCGAUUUCUACUUGGAACUAGCUUUAUAUAUAUGUUCGUUUAUUUGUUACAUGUAUAUUUGUUGUACUGUAUUAUGUAAUUUUUGUAAUUGUAUGCCGCUCCACGUGGGUAUUUUUAUGCAAUACAAUUUACUUACCAUAGGUGAUAUCAAUGAUUGCGUGUACAGCAUGCACUCCGUCAUCUGGAUGUAACUUUUACAAAAGGAACGGGUACUCCGCUAUCAAGAUGUUAUUUUAACAACAGGAAUAGGUGCUCCGCUAUCUAGAUGUUAAGAAUGUAAUUUUAAUGAGUUUUACAACUCUACAACAUGAACAUGUUCUCCGUUCUCCGUCGUUUAUUAUGAAUAUGAAGGAUGAACCUACUGAAGGCGGAUACAAUGUGGAGCUAAGUUCUUUUAAUUUCGGUUUCGUUUUUUCUGCCAUUUCGAUUUGAUGAUAAAUUUACAAUCUAUUCAGCUUCUUCAUGUUAUUUAAUGUUUUUUCAUAUCUUUCAUAAACCUGUAGAACUAAGGAACUAAUCU